GACGAACGCUGGCGGCGUGCUUAACACAUGCAAGUCGAACGGUGAAGCGCCUUCCUUUUUGGUGGGUGUGGAUGAGUGGCGAACGGGUGAGUAACACGUGAGUAACCUGCCCCCUUCUUCUGGAUAACCGCAUGAAAGUGUGGCUAAUACGGGAUAUUCUGGGUCUGUCGCAUGAUGGGUCUGGGAAAGAUAUUGUUUCGGUGGGGGAUGGGCUCGCGGCCUAUCAGCUUGUUGGUGGGGUGAUGGCCUACCAAGGCGGUGACGGGUAGCCGGCCUGAGAGGGUGGACGGUCACACUGGGACUGAGACACGGCCCAGACUCCUACGGGAGGCAGCAGUGGGGAAUAUUGCACAAUGGGCGCAAGCCUGAUGCAGCGACGCCGCGUGAGGGAUGGAGGCCUUCGGGUUGUGAACCCCUUUCGCCAGUGAAGCAGGCCUGCCUCGUUUGUGGGUGGGUUGACGGUAGCUGGAGAAGAAGCGCCGGCUAACUACGUG
rnacentral:rRNA from 1 species